rnacentral:rRNA from 1 species
AUUGAACGCUGGCGGCAAGCCUAACACAUGCAAGUCGAACGAGUGGCGGACGGGUGAGUAAUGUCUGGGAAACUGCCUGAUGGAGGGGGAUAACUACUGGAAACGGUAGCUAAUACCGCAUACCAUCGGAUGUGCCCAGAUGGGAUUAGCUAGUAGGUGGGGUAAAGGCUCACCUAGGCGACGAUCCCUAGCUGGUCUGAGAGGAGGACCAGCCACACUGGAACUGAGACACGGUCCAGACUCCUACGGGAGGCAGCAGUGGGGAAUAGUGCACAAUGGGCGAAAGCCUGAUUCAGCCAUGCCGCGUGUGUGAAGAAGGUCUUCGGAUUGUAAAGUACUUUAAGUUGGGAGGCGUUACCAACAGAAUAAGCACCGGCUAACUUCGUGCCAGCAGACGCGGUAAUUC